UACGGAGGGUGCAAGCGUUAAUCGGAAUUACUGGGCGUAAAGCGUGCGUAGGCGGUUUUUUAAGCCAGAUGGGAAAGCCCCGGGCUUAACCUGGGAACUGCAUUUGGAACUGGGGAACUAGAGUUGAGUAGAGGAGAGUGGAAUUUCAGGUGUAGCGGUGAAAUGCGUAGAUAUCUGAAGGAACACCAGUGGCGAAGGCGACUCUCUGGACUCAAACUGACGCUGAGGUACGAAAGCGUGGGUAGCAAACAGG
rnacentral:rRNA from 1 species